GAGAAGUAAGACAGAAGAGGGAAGGAAGCCAAUACAAGGGGAUUUCAAAAAGUUCAUGGAAUCACAACCAGUUACAGAUUUCUUUGCUCCUUUUCCACUCCCACUGCUUCACUUGACGAGCCUAAA
ensembl:misc_RNA Y_RNA Y RNA